rnacentral:rRNA from 1 species
UAAUCAUUAGUCUUUUAAUUGAAGGCUGGUAUGAACGGUUGGACGAGGUAUAAGCUGUUUCAUAUAAAUUUAUAAUAGAAUUUUAUAUUUUAGUCAAAAAGCUAAAAUAUUUUUAAAAGACGAGAAGACCCUAUAAAUCUUUAUAUUUUGUGUUGUUUAAAUUUUUUGGAAUCGGUUUAUUUUUAUAAUAUAAAAUAUUUUGUUGGGGUGAUAUUAAAAUUUAAUUAACUUUUAAUUAUUUAAAAUCAUUAAUUUAUGAGUUAUUGAUCCAUUAAUAGUGAUUAUAAGAUUAAGUUACUUUAGGGAUAACAGCGUAAUUUUUUUGGAGAGUUCAUAUCGAUAAAAAAGUUUGCGACCUCGAUGUUGGAUUAAGAUAUAAUUUUAGGUGUAGUCGCUUAAAUGUUAAGUCUGUUCGACUUUUAAAUUCUUACAUGAUCUGAGUUCAGACCGGCGUAAGCCAGGUUGGUUUCUAUCUUUAAAUUUUUAUAAUGCCUUAGUACGAAAGGACCAGGCAUUAAAAUAAUAAUAUUUUAUUUAUAGAAUGUGAUUAAUU